GGAGCCGUUAAAAAGGUCACGUGAGAAGACCUGCCGACUAUAGAGAACGAAGGGAAAUGGAGACGCUCGUCUUUUUAACGGAUAACUAGAGCUGAUUGCGUAUGUUAUUAGGCUUUCCUUUGGAAUUCCCUCAAAAGGCUAUUUUGUCGGUCCACCGGUAAGAACUGGCAGCCUCAAGAUGAUCAGGACAAGUUUGCUAAGUCUUUAACGGCACGUAGGCGAAGAAAAUCGGUCGUGAAAACUAUUUCGGGACAACCGUUCAAUGUUUAGAAGCUCUGGCUUCUUUUGCACUCGUUUAGCUAACGAUGGGAUUAAAAAAAAUUCUAGUAUUGCAACUUAAAAACGCUCGGUUCUAUCGAUCAGUGGUAGGCAUUAUUUAACCAGUGGUAGGCAAUUUUUAAUUCUAUCACAUAAACUAGAAACGCAUUACUUUUCAGCCCAAAGUCUCACCACUUCAAGUGCACUCUUAAAAAAAAGGAAACCAAACUACCGAUGUAGAAGCUCCAUAUGUCUUUCCUGCAUAUGGCCAAUUUUUCAUGGGACGAAGAUUGACUGCGGUUAAUAGCAUUAUGUACACCUCAAAGUGGGAUUUUUUUUUCAAUCGUGAAACAAUAUGUCUUUUGGACUUCUUCAGAAAUUUUACAACAUAUACAUUGCAGAUAAUUAAAUCAGCUAUUUUCAUGAAGGUGCUGACAGUACUACACAUUUUUACUGAGAUGUACGUUCAGCUGAAGUCAUAGAAACUUCCUUUAUUGUUUCAUCUAAAAAAAUCAAGGCUUUAUUCUGCAGCUACAGCUGAGGCCAAAGAAAAUUAGCAAAAUAAAUACAACUCACCUGUAUCAAUUCAUUUAUUUGAUGCAAAUCAUCAUCAGUUGCUGCCUUUUUCUUGGGGAUAAUGCCUUCUUGUAAGGAAAAGCCAAAAUUGGGAAGACAGCAGACAGCAAGUGCCACCUAAUGCAAAGCUGAAGAAACAGUGGACCACUUACUUAGUAGCUGCUGCAAGAAGAUUGCACAGAAUACAAGCAAUGGCACGACAAAGUAACAACAAUGGUGCAUUGGAAGAUCUGCAAGAAAUAUCAUUUGCCUGCAAGUAAGAACUGGUGGGACCAUAUAAUAGAGAAAGUCACAGAAAAUGAAGAAGUUAAAUUUGCCCUGAGAUUUUAGAAUUUAAACAGAUAGGCACAAAAAAGUAUGGAUAGUGGAUGUGGCAGUAAGGAAAAAGCAGAAUGGAACAGAAGGAACUGGAGAAGAUAACAAAAUAUGAAGGCCUUUAAGCAGAAAUAGAACUGUGGCAAAAGAAAGCAAAGACAGUACCAAUAGUCAUAGGCACCUUGUGUGCAAUCCCAAAACAACUGGAGCACCAUUUGAACACCAUCAGCAUUGGCAAAUUCACUACCAAUCAACUGCAAAAGGUGGCUUUACUUGGGAACAGUUUAUACGCUGCGAUGAUAUCUGUAACACUAUUAAACAUCCACACCUGCUUAUCCCAGCCUUGGAAAGAACUUGAUAGAAAAAAAUGCCAAAUCCAGUCUAAAUAUCUGGCUGACUGCAAUGAAUCAUAAUUCAUCAGUCAAUUGCAAAAGGCAGCUUUACUCGGAAUAGCUUAAUAAAUGUGUACAAAGUCAAUAUUGAGAAGACAGAAACAGAUGUUGCCUCUGCAAAGAAGCUGAAGUGGGCUACCUAGCUAGCUGCCACAAGAUCACAUAGACUGACUACAAACACCGGUAUGACAAAGUAGCAACAAUGGUGCAUUGGAAUAUCUGCAAGAAAUACCGUUUGCCUACAAGCAAGACCUGGUGAGACCACAAAAUAGACAAAGUAGUAGAAGGUGAAAAUGCUGAAGCCCUGGAAUUUUAUAAUUCAAACAGAUAAAUACCUGCCACAUAACAUCCUAGACUUAACAAAUGUCAGUAACAAAGCAAAAAACUCUGAAUAGUGAAUGUGGCAGUACCAGAGCUAGCAAAGAGAAGAACUGCAGAAAAUCACAAAGAACUACAAAUAAAAAUUGAACUGUGGCAAAAGAAAUAAAGAUAGUACCAAUAAUAAUAGCCUUAGGUGCAAUCCCAAAACAAUUGAAGCACCACUUGAAUACCAUUGGCAUUAACAAAAUCAACACUAGUCAAUUGCUUUAUUUGGAACAGCUUACAACCUGAAAAUAUAUUUGUAACACCAUGAAACAAUAUCAUAUGCCUAUCCCAAGUCCUUGGGUUGGAUUCAGUAGAUGGAUAAAAAUGCCAAAUUCAGCCUGAAUAUCUGGCUGACUAUGCAACCAAUCAUAAUAAUCUGGCUGACUAUGCAACCAAUCAUCAUAAUAGAGUAUUAAACAUAUAUGUUUAAUUCACAUUUAAAGAACCUAUAGAAAGGUAUUUAGUAGUAUACAUGAAAGUUGGGUUAUUACAUACUUUUCCUAUAUAUCUACUGAAUAGUGGCCUUUCUUUUUUUCAGUUACUUUCUGUAAUUUUAAAAAACCUUCACUGGAUCUAAAAGAAAUCCAGAUUAAUUAUUUGUGAUAAGUCAGCGUAACUGAAAAUACCUAAGGCAUCAAAUGCCAACGUGAGAGAAAAAUAUUUACAAUUGUAGUGUACAAAAUUAG